GAUGAACGCUGGCGGCGUGCUUAACACAUGCAAGUCGAACGAAGCACUUAAGCAGAUUUCUUCGGAAUGAAGCUUUUGUGACUGAGUGGCGGACGGGUGAGUAACGCGUGGGUAACCUGCCUCAUACAGGGGGAUAACAGUUAGAAAUGACUGCUAAUACCGCAUAAGCGCACAGCUUCGCAUGAGCAGUGUGAAAAACUCCGGUGGUGUGAGAUGGACCCGCGUCUGAUUAGCCAGUUGGCGGGGUAACGGCCCACCAAAGCGACGAUCAGUAGCCGGCCUGAGAGGGUGAACGGCCACAUUGGGACUGAGACACGGCCCAA
rnacentral:rRNA from 1 species